rnacentral:rRNA from 1 species
GAUGAACGCUGGCGGCGUGCCUAAUACAUGCAAGUCGAGCGAACAGACGAGGAGCUUGCUCCUCUGACGUUAGCGGCGGACGGGUGAGUAACACGUGGAUAACCUACCUAUAAGACUGGGAUAACUUCGGGAAACCGGAGCUAAUACCGGAUAAUAUAUUGAACCGCAUGGUUCAAUAGUGAAAGACGGUUUUGCUGUCACUUAUAGAUGGAUCCGCGCCGCAUUAGCUAGUUGGUAAGGUAACGGCUUACCAAGGCAACGAUGCGUAGCCGACCUGAGAGGGUGAUCGGCCACACUGGAACUGAGACACGGUCCAGACUCCUACGGGAGGCAGCAGUAGGGAAUCUUCCGCAAUGGGCGAAAGCCUGACGGAGCAACGCCGCGUGAGUGAUGAAGGUCUUCGGAUCGUAAAACUCUGUUAUUAGGGAAGAACAAAUGUGUAAGUAACUAUGCACGUCUUGACGGUACCUAAUCAGAAAGCCACGGCUAACUACGCG